GUGGGGUGACUGCGUACCUUUUGUAUAAUGGGUCAGCGACUUAUAUUCUGUAGCAAGGUUAACCGAAUAGGGGAGCCGGAGGGAAACCGAGUCUUAAUU
rnacentral:rRNA from 4 species